UGAAAAUUUUCAUUCUACAAAAUUGUUUCUGAAUAAUGGAUUCUCCAAGAAUGAUGUUAUCUCUUGGUAAACUGAACAUCGUUCUUACUACUACUACUACUCUCAUAAUUCCUAUGAAACUGCCGGAAGAAGAAGAUGAAAUCCCUGUCUUGUUUUUGAUGAAGAUCUAAAAACACAAUGAUUUCUCCUCUCAAAACAAAGUUUUCUUGUUUCAACAUUGUUGCAGAAAAUUCUUCUGCUGCUUCUGUUUCUUGAGAUUAUUUCUUGUGUGGUAGAGAAUGCCCUCUCAUCGUUUUGGGAAUGGAUGACCGAAUCCAGCAGCAGUCUAAAAUGAAAGACUUGUCUCCUUGGACCAACCUAAUUUUCUAGCCCUUGCACGGCUAGAAACAUCAUUGUUCAGGCGAGUAAACCUGUAGCAAGAACCUUAAGCGACGACCUUACACCAAAGCAACUUUCAGAUGUCAGCAACAGUGAGCGC